rnacentral:rRNA from 1 species
GACGAACGCUGGCGGCGUGCUUAACACAUGCAAGUCGAAGAUCGUGGCGAAGGGGUGAGUAAUACGUGGUUACCCUGCCCUCCUUUUUGGGAUAAGCCUUGGAAACGGGGUCUAAUACCGCAUAAAGGGGGAUGGGCUCGCGGCCUAUCAGCUUGUUGGUGGGGUGCUGGCCUACCAAGGCGUUGACGGGUAGCCGGCCUGAGAGGGCGAACGGCCACAUUGGGACUGCGAUACCGCCCAGACGACUACGGGAGGGAGCAGUGGGGGAUAUUGCACAAUGGGCGAAAGCCUGAUGCCGCGACGCUGCGUGGGGGCUGAAGGUUUUCGUGUUGUAACACUCGUGAGCUAUCGAACGGGUAGGGGCAGAAGAAGCGCCGGCUAACUACGUGCCAGCAGCCGCGGUAAUUC